rnacentral:rRNA from 1 species
AACCAGCCACGUCGCGUGAAGGAUGACGGCCCUACGGGUUGUAAACUUCUUUUAUACAGGAAUAAAGUGAGUCACGUGUGAUUUUUUGCAUGUACUGUAUGAAUAAGGAUCGGCUAACUCCGUGCCAGCAGCCGCGGUAAUACGGAGGAUCCAAGCGUUAUCCGGAUUUAUUGGGUUUAAAGGGUGCGCAGGCGGAAGAUUAAGUCGGCGGUGAAAUUUUGCAGCUCAACUGUAAAAGUGCCAUCGAUACUGGUUUUCUUGAGUGUGGAUGAAGUAGGCGGAAUUUGUGGUGUAGCGGUGAAAUGCAUAGAUAUCACGAGGAACUCCGAUUGCGCAGGCAGCUUACUAGGCCAUAACUGACGCUCAGGCACGAAGGCGUGGGGAUCAAAAGGGCUUAGAUACCCUGGUAGUCCACGCAGUAAACCCAGAAAGGUCGCUGUUUGCGAUACACCGUAAGCGGCUUAGCGAAAAGCGUUAAGUAAUCCACCUGGGGAGUACGUUCGCAAGAAUGAAACUCAAAGGAAUUGACGGGGGCCCGCACAAGCGGAGGAACAUGUGGUUUAAUUCGAUGAUACGCGAGGAACCUUACCCGGGUUUGAAUUGCUGAUGGCGGUAUUUGGAGACAGAUACUUCCCUUCGGGGCGUCAGUGAAGGUGCUGCAUGGUUGUCGUCAGCUCGUGCCGUGAGGUGUCGGCUUAAGUGCCAUAACGAGCGCAACCCUUGCCGUUAGUUGCCAUCGGGUCAUGCCGGGCACUCUAUUGGGACUGCCAUCGUAAGAUGUGAGGAAGGUGGGGAUGACGUCAAAUCAGCACGGCCCUUAUGUCCGGGGCGACACACGUGUUACAAUGGGGGGUACAGUGGGAAGCUACCUGGCGACAGGUUGCGGAUCCCCAAAUCCUUUCUCAGUUCGGAUCGGAGUCUGUAACUCGACUCCGUGAAGUUGGAUUCGCUAGUAAUCGCGCAUCAGCCAUGGCGCG